rnacentral:rRNA from 1 species
AUACGUAGGGUGCAAGCGUUAAUCGGAAUUACUGGGCGUAAAGCGUGCGCAGGCGGUUUUGUAAGACAGUGGUGAAAUCCCCGGGCUCAACCUGGGAACUGCCAUUGUGACUGCAAGGCUGGAGUGCGGCAGAGGGGGAUGGAAUUCCGCGUGUAGCAGGGAAAUGCGUAGAUAUGCGGAGGAACACCGAUGGCGAAGGCAAUCCCCUGGGCCUGCACUGACGCUCAUUCACGAAAGCGUGGGGAGCAAACAGGAUUAGAUACCCUGGUAGUCCACGCCCUAAACGAUGUCAACUGGUUGUUGGGGAUUUAUUUUCUCAGUAACGAAGCUAACGCGUGAAGUUGACCGCCUGGGGAGUACGGCCGCAAGGUUAAAACUCAAAGGAAUUGACGGGG